UACGUAGGGUGCAAGCGUUGUCCGGAAUUAUUGGGCGUAAAGAGCUCGUAGGCGGUCUGUCGCGUCGGCUGUGAAAACCCGAGGCUCAACCUCGGGCCUGCAGUCGAUACGGGCAAACUAGAGUACUGCAGGGGAGACUGGAAUUCCUGGUGUAGCGGUGAAAUGCGCAGAUAGUCAGGAGGAACAGCCGGUGGCGAAGGCGGGUCUCUGGGCAG
rnacentral:rRNA from 1 species